CACCUGGUGAGAAAAAAUUUUCAAACUCGCAUUUCCAUCUUGAUGGGUCACACUCCAGCGUUUCAUUUCCAUUCUACCUCUCAUCAUCAACAGACGUAUAUACCAAAAAAAAAUCGCUGGAAUGGACGUCGAUGGCGAGCUUCGGGCUCAUAAUAAUGAGAACGGCGAUAAUCAGCCACGAGGCAAUGACGAUCCGCACCAACAAGGAGGGCCGCCAGAAAAUGGCGAUCAGAUCGGCGAGCAGCAACAUCGACCGCAACAAGCCAGCGAGAGCCAGAGAAAAAAACGGGGCACACGAGCGGGAUGGCGGGCCCGCGAGGCCAAAAAAAUUGAUUUCAUUGCACGUUUGAAUGAGCGGACGGGACAAAUCAUCGCCGAUCGCUAUUGGCGGAAUUGGCGAGGUGGUCGUGGCAGCCGAAGUCGUCGUG